GGGGGGGGGGGGGGGGGGGGGGGGGGGGGGGGGGGGGGGGGGGGGGGGGGGGCGGGGGACACGGGCGGGCCCCCCUGCCC
rnacentral:miRNA from 12 species